rnacentral:rRNA from 1 species
UACGAAGGGGGCUAGCGUUGUUCGGAAUUACUGGGCGUAAAGCGUGCGCAGGCGGCUUCUCAAGUCAGGGGUGAAAGCCCAGAGCUCAACUCUGGAAUUGCCUUUGAGACUGAGUGGCUUGAGUACGAGAGAGGUGAGUGGAAUUCCCAGUGUAGAGGUGAAAUUCGUAGAUAUUCGCAAGAGCACCAGUGGCGAAGGCGGCUCACUGGCCCGAUACUGACGCUGAGGCACGAAAGCGUGGGGAGCAAACAGG